rnacentral:snRNA from 1 species
UUGCCCACUUCAGCAGCACAUACACUAAAAUUAGAACAAUAUAGAAAAUAUUAGCAUGGCCCUUGUGCAAGGAUGCCACACACAUUCAUGAAAGGUUACAUAUUUUA